CGUUUUGGAUGAAAGAAUAGCUCUUCCUCGUCCAGACUGAGUUGGCUUGUACGAGGAAGCUCUGAAGGUCGAAGUUCAGCUGCCUUUUCACUAUCUCAUAAUGAAAUUUUUUAAAUUAUAUAGAGUAAGUUUCUGUAGUAUCACACCAAAUUCAUGACGUCAGAUUGUACGUUUCUUUAUUUAUUGCCUUCUCCUCGGGGUCGAGCCAACCUCCCAUCUUCUUUGGGCCUCCUUCAUAUUAAAGGAGCAUCCCACAG
rnacentral:lncRNA from 1 species